AUUGAACGCUGGCGGCAGGCCUAACACAUGCAAGUCGAGCGGAUGAAGGGAGCUUGCUCCUGGAUUCAGCGGCGGACGGGUGAGUAAUGCCUAGGAAUCUGCCUGGUAGUGGGGGAUAACGUCCGGAAACGGGCGCUAAUACCGCAUACGUCCUGAGGGAGAAAGUGGGGGAUCUUCGGACCUCACGCUAUCAGAUGAGCCUAGGUCGGAUUAGCUAGUUGGUGGGGUAAAGGCCUACCAAGGCGACGAUCCGUAACUGGUCUGAGUGGAUGAUCAGUCACACUGGAACUGAGACACGGUCCAGACUCCUACGGGAGACAGCAGUAGGGAAUAUUGGACAAUGGGCGAAAGCCUGAUCCAGCCAUGCCGCGUGUGUGAAGAAGGUCUUCGGAUUGUAAAGCACUUUAAGUUGGGAGGAAGGGCAGUAAGUUAAUACCUUGCUGUUUUGACGUUACCAACAGAAUAAGCACCGGCUAACUUCGUG
rnacentral:rRNA from 1 species